AACGUAGGUGGCAAGCGUUAUCCGGAUUUACUGGGCGUAAAGCGUGUGCAGGCGGGUGGACAAGUGGUGUAUGAAAUCGCCAGGCUAAACCUGGCGGGGGUAUGCCAGACUGUUUAUCUGGAGUGCGAGAGAGGGGCGUGGAAUUCCGGGUGUAGUGGUGAAAUGCGUAGAGAUCCGGAGGAACCCCAGAGGCGAAGGCGGCGCCCUGGCUCGCAACUGACGCUCAGACACGACAGCAUGGGGAGCGAACGGG
rnacentral:rRNA from 1 species